rnacentral:rRNA from 1 species
GACGAACGCUGGCGGCGUGCUUAACACAUGCAAGUCGAACGGAAAGGCCCUGCUUUUGUGGGGUGCUCGAGUGGCGAACGGGUGAGUAACACGUGAGUAACCUGCCCUUGACUUUGGGAUAACUUCAGGAAACUGGGGCUAAUACCGGAUAGGAGCUCCUGCUGCAUGGUGGGGGUUGGAAAGUUUCGGCGGUUGGGGAUGGACUCGCGGCUUAUCAGCUUGUUGGUGGGGUAGUGGCUUACCAAGGCUUUGACGGGUAGCCGGCCUGAGAGGGUGAACGGCGACAUUGGGACUGAGAGACGGCGCAGUCGGGUACGGUAGGCAGCAGUGGAGAAUAUGGCGGAGUAGGGGGAAGCCUGAGGCAGCAACGCCGCGUGCGUGAUGACGGCCUUCGAGUUAUGAACCGCUGUCGCCUGUAACGAAGCGUGAUUGACGGUAAUGGGUAAGAAAGCACCGGCUAACUACGUG